UCUGAGAGAGGACACAGGUCACACACAGUAAUCAUCGAGCGUUCAAACCAGUCGGGACAGUGAGGGAGGGGGAACGCAAAGGUCACUUCAGUCUCCUUUACCUGAGGAGAUCUUGCAGAUGAAGGGCUUGGCCACGUCGCACCUGGUGUCAUUCCAGGUCCCGUGGAACACGCGCGACGCGUGCAUGCUCACGCAGCCCUCAUCCUUGAUGUUGCUCGGCUCGCCGGGUCCCCACUGAGUGAAAAACACUGGCCAGCCGUCGGUCCACGCGUACGAGCCGUCGUCCUGCGUGAACAAGGCAACGUGAGCUCGUGGAGGUGUUGCUUCAAAUGCCCCCUCAUGAAGUGUUUUCACAGUGACAGUUGGAUUUGACUGGAUUUCAUUCCUCUUCAGGAUUUCUGCCUCCACCCCGAAACAAAAAGAGUCAAACUAAAACGGUGUGCAUGGCUGGAUGCCACUGGCGGUAGUUCAGACUGACCUUGCGCCUGAGGCCGAUCCAGGCGUCGGCUCUGCCCUGCAGCACCGCUCCUGCGAGGAAGGCCUGGUCGUAGCUCAUGUCGACGCUGGCCAGGUUCCCCCCCUGCUGCUCGCAGGCCGUCUGGGCCGCGUCCCAGGACGCCGGCUCCUCCAUCAGCUUGUAGCAGCUCUGGUACCAGGAGACGUACCCGUCCGGGCAGGGGCUUGCGGUUGGGGGUGGAGGGUCGAUACUGCUCGCUGAUGUGGAGGAAAGACAGAGAAAAAUCUUUAAUAAGGGUCCGAAUAGGGAUUUUCUAUAUGUUUUCUGUAAUUGCAAAUGUUAUUUCAGCUGGAUAAAUGAGGACUGGGUGUUGACUGACAUUUCUUCCUGUAGCAGACGAAGCUGUGAUCCUUGUGACAGGCAUCGUCAUUCCACUUGCCACUCACGAGCGGGCUGUGACUCAUCGCCACGCAGUGUUCCUGUCGGGGGAUGACGAGAGAGUUUAAACUUUACAACCACGGUGUGUUGGUUCAUUUUUACAACACGUCCCGUCUGCUUUGCUCCACUCAUCAAAAGGACAAAUCCUCACCGCUCCGCCUGCGUUGUUGGGCUCCUUGUCAUUCCAGUUGGUGUAGCGCACGGGGCUGACCCCGUCACUCCAGGCGUACUGGUUCUCUGACAGCAGAUCAGACAGGCCGAUCCAUGUGGGCAGCUCCAGGUCCCUCAGGUAACUGGACACAAAGUCUGGAGGAGAGGAGGAUUCAAAUAUUUAAAAUACUUCUGCCAAACUGGACUCAUGAAUAAUUUUUUCUCUCUGCUGAGCUCACCGUUCUCGUAUUGGUCAUCAAUCACCGCCAGCUCCCCUCCUUGGUCUUUGCACCAACUCCGAGCGUGAGACCAGUUGGCUUUGACGUCGUCUUUCUUCCCUUUGAACAUGAAGCACUUGUCCUUGAACCGCAGCCAACCUGCAGGGAAGGAAGGAAGAAAGGAAAGUAAAUAGGCUGCGUUAUAGUUCAAGGACGCUCCAAGCUGAUGCCCUCGAUCGAAAGCACAGGUGUACGGCAGUUUUAUUUUAAAUUUCAUUUCAAACACAGUUGGGAACUGUAGUUUUUAGCAAACAGGAGUAAAUUGUGCACUUAUUGUGGACUGAAGUACAUCAGUACAGAAAAUACUUAAGUUACAUUAGUAGGAUCAAUUCAUUUUUGGUUUUGGUCUGUUCAUGACAUUUGCUGACAAUAAGAAAAUAGGAUGUAUCACCAGACCUAUUUUCUAUAUAUCUAAAUAAAUAUGUACUUAACAUCUA